AAAUAACAGGACAUACGAAAAAUCGAAGGAGAGGGAAGGGCAAGAAAUUUCGUUGGGUAGCGGUGCCGCCGCUGCGGCUCGAGGUUGUACUGGUGAUGCUGCUGUUAGCAGCGGAAGUAUUAUGGUAGUGGCCACAGCAGCCAGUCGUGAUGGUGGGCGGUGGUGGGAGGUAGUUGAACGCUGGCGCUGCUGUCAAAUGCUGAGGGAACGCAGGGGCUCGUCAAAGAUAAAGAGAAUUAGUGACUGAACGAAAACUAGAGAGGGAAAGAUAAUAUAACUAAACGAUUCAGUUCUCAAGGGCCGCCACGUUCGAAGGGGCUAGAAAAGUUUGGAAGCGGCGCAACUUACCCCCACCCCACUCCCCAAUCCGCAUACACACACAGCCCCAUCGCUACAGCUUCUUCUGAUCCAAUUCUGUCUCCUUUCACUCCAACAACCCUCGAUGCUAAUGAUGAUGAUGACGAUUAUCAUUGUCUGUCAGUGUACGUGUGUAUGUCUGCCCCGGACCGCUUCUCGCGUUCUAUGUACCGCUGUAACAACAGAACAACAGCAGUCUUUCGGUACGUUCGCCAACAUAGACGAGACAGCAAGCAGAGUGGAAAGAAAUGUUAACAGAUGGUUCGAGUAAGACUACCAACUGAUUGCCUAAUAUGAGUCGAAGAGACAAAAAUUACCCGCAAAAACAACGUGCUUUCUAAGAACGCAUCUCCUAGGACUUCGGAAAGAGCCAACUAUGAAUCUUCAGAACAGCCAAUAACAGUAAAACCGUACGGACUUCAUGAAUACGACUGUCUAUUUGUCAUACGAAGCAAGUGCUAAACGAACCACUCUAGCGGUAACGGAUUUUGGCAAAGGCUCGAAAGUUUAAUCGGGGAAAAAGCGGCCAAAAAAAGAAAAAGAA